GAUGAACGCUGGCGGCGUGCCUAAUACAUGCAAGUCGAGCGAACUGAUUAGAAGCUUGCUUCUAUGACGUUAGCGGCGGACGGGUGAGUAACACGUGGGCAACCUGCCUGUAAGACUGGGAUAACUCCGGGAAACCGGAGCUAAUACCGGAUAACAUUUUCUCUUGCAUAAGAGAAAAUUGAAAGAUGGUUUCGGCUAUCACUUACAGAUGGGCCCGCGGUGCAUUAGCUAGUUGGUGAGGUAACGGCUCACCAAGGCAACGAUGCAUAGCCGACCUGAGAGGGUGAUCGGCCACACUGGGACUGAGACACGGCCCAGACUCCUACGGGAGGCAGCAGUAGGGAAUCUUCCGCAAUGGACGAAAGUCUGACGGAGCAACGCCGCGUGAACGAAGAAGGCCUUCGGGUCGUAAAGUUCUGUUGUUAGGGAAGAACAAGUACCAGAGUAACUGCUGGUACCUUGACGGUACCUAACCAGAAAGCCACGGCUAACUACGUGCCAGCAGCCGCGGUAAUACGUAGGUGGCAAGCGUUAUCCGGAAUUAUUGGGCGUAAAGCGCGCGCAGGCGGUUUCUUAAGUCUGAUGUGAAAGCCCACGGCUCAACCGUGGAGGGUCAUUGGAAACUGGGGAACUUGAGUGCAGAAGAGAAAAGCGGAAUUCCACGUGUAGCGGUGAAAUGCGUAGAGAUGUGGAGGAACACCAGUGGCGAAGGCGGCUUUUUGGUCUGUAACUGACGCUGAGGCGCGAAAGCGUGGGGAGCAAACAGGAUUAGA
rnacentral:rRNA from 1 species